UACGGAGGGGGCUAGCGUUGUUCGGAAUUACUGGGCGUAAAGCGCACGUAGGCGGAUUGUUAAGUCGGGGGUGAAAUCCCGGGGCUCAACCCCGGAAUGGCCUACGAUACUGGCAAUCUUGGGGUCGGGAGAGGUGAGUGGAAUGGCGAGUGUAGAGGUGAAAUUCGUAGAUAUUCGCCGGAACACCAGUGGCGAAGGCGGCUCACUGGCCCGAGACUGACGCUGAGGUGCGACAGCGUGGGGAGCAAACAGG
rnacentral:rRNA from 1 species